CUAACUCUGCCUAGAACGUCAUGAUUGACUUACCCAGCUGGUAGCUGACAACUCUCUUGUCUCCCAAGGAAAAAUUAAUCCAUCAUUACAUUCUAUACUUUUCAUCAUAUGUGUUAAAUAAGAUGCUUGAAUGCAUGACACAGUGUGAGGUGUGAGGCAUAUUCCACUUGCUCAAUAUUUGAUUAUUAUGAUGAGUGAUAAAGAUGAUGCUCUGUCUCCUCUUCUAGACUGAUUCUUGGAAAAGUAGCUUUUGUUUUAUUCCUCAUUACCACCCAGCACAGGAUCUUCCCAGUCAGCUGUAGGAAUCUAAAAAAACAUUGUUGGACUUCUUAAAGGGCA
rnacentral:lncRNA from 1 species